CCGAACAAUGCCAACAAGAUAACUGUCCCUAAGAGCAACGUUUGCGACUCAAUGUGUGCGGAAGCGACCACUCGAAGUGGAGUGACGCACGCUCUCACGUGCGGAUGGUCUAGACACAUUAUUGCAGGAAGAGCACAAAAAAAAAAACAAAGAAAAACAAAAAAACAGGAAACAAAGGCCAACGGAUGUUAAGAUGCGAAGUGCGUAAAAGAUACCUGUACUCUCACUACAGCCACAGCACAGGAAGUACCCGUUCGAGCACCCCAAGCAUGAAGUAUUUGUUGUGCCUGUGCGUUCUCGUCGCCGGCGCCUGCGCCCUGAUUGAAGACCCCGAAGACAUCUUCGGCACCGACGCCGAAGGCUUUUUCUCGAGACGACAUCCAAGGCUGUUCAGGGCACUUUUGGUACCACGAGUCGGGCGACCCGUCGUCAAGCCACAGCUCGUUUCUUCUCCUGGCUCAUUCUCCUGGGACAUUCCGACGAGGGGAUCUAACGUCGUUCGUCGCUCACUUUUGUGGAUUCCCCCACCUGAGGACACACAGCCAGCCAAGCCGAGCAGGCCAUCAGAGCCCUUUGAGAAAAGACCAUUCAGGCCGAAGCCCAUGCCCUCGGACUAUGAUUGAACUGUCAUUGCACAGACACUCUGAGACACUCUGUACAUUUUGCGUUGUUUACAACCGGUUUGUAGUACCAUUGAGCCAAAAGUCAUUGCUCUUCUGAUCAAAAAUACAAAGUGAUAUUUGUUAGCACGUCUGAUUUGUCGUUGUAUAUACCAUCAGAUCAAUACAAUAUUUUUUUUUAAUAUAUCUGACGGAGAGCUACCAAAGUUCAGGAUAAGGCUGACGUGCUCGAUAACCUAUGUUGUUUUCCAAGACUGCAUUUCUUGGUCUCGUAAGGAGGGGCAAAAUUUGAUUCAAUUCGCGGUAGCCCGUGUUUUAUAUAACUUUUCUUUUGUCAGCCCUCGCAAAUGUACAACACAGCAACAGCCCGCAGGCUAGCUGGUGUAAUUGCGACUACGACAGCACCUCCUUGAGUUUGGCGAGUUCGGAAAUCAAGGACACAAGAAAGAAGAAAACAAAAUCACCAUAAUUAAAACAACCCUUUUGGGCUUGUUGAUGACAGUCUUUUGUGGCAUGUGAGUAAAGUUGUUGAAAUUGAGCGCUAGCUGUUGUGUGUGUCUUGUGUUUGUCCUGUUUUUAGCGCUUUUACGUUAUGAAAGAAUCACCAUCACCGACAGUGCGCCUUCUACACUCUAAACAAAGGAUCAAUUUUCGUCCUCUUCUGGACUGAAUGCGUGCCAGUUUGCCAGCUUAUGCGGUGAUUAGAGACCAUUUGCACUGCUGGGGACUGAAUUUCAGGGUUAGGGAAGUAAACCGGGGAAUAAAUGCAAUCUAAAGGACUGUAGAUGCUGGGUUUUCUUUAAAUAUUAUUUGAUGUGAUACGUCGGAAAUGAAAGGAAUUUGAAAUUAUUAUAAGUGGUAUACCAAUUGUACAUCUUGCCAUGCUGUCUGCAUGGCCCAGCCCGCUAGCCUGGCCUAGACGGGUCGAUAUGCUUGUUUUGUGUCGUGUAAACCUGAAUAAAGAUUUAUUAUUAUUAUUUCUA